ACAACUGUUAAAUAGCUGAUGGCUUCUAUCGAACAAUAAGCAAACCUGUUCUUUUAGAGGCCCAACAUGUUCUCCAUUUAAAAUUUUGAUCAAGUUUAGGAAGAUGACUUAAUGGUCCACAAAGUAACUUGACAUCUUCAAGAUUAUUGUGACUAAGAUUGAUUACCUUUAGUUCUGUACAAACUGCCAGAUCAACCACACUGUUCUAAAAGGAACUGGUGUAAAACAUCAACAGAAAUCUAAGUGAAAGAUGGAAAUGAUUCACCAACCAAAGCAAGUAGUGUUCAAUUAAAGAUUACACAUAAAAUCCAUGAAGAAAUUUUGUUGUUGUUUCAUUUGCACUGCAUAUGGUGUAUGAACGUAUAAAAAAUGUCACAGUUUCGUUCAUAAAAACAAGAAUUUAAAAUUUUAACACGCAAAACAUUAAAAACUUACAAGUUUGUUAUAUUUUACAUUUAAUUCCACCAAUGAUUGUAAGUUUUGCAAACCAUCCAGAUUUUUUAAAGCAUUGUAUCCAAGAUCAAGGAACUUUAAAAAUGGUAAAACAGGAAAUUUUGGCAAAUUUUUGAGGUAGUUUGACUUUAAAUCCUGCAAAAAAAACACAUUAUUACACUUACCGCUCUACAGAACAUUACCGUUCUUGUUUUACUUACUAAAUAUUGAAGAAAUUUUGUAUUUGUGAAUAAAUCAGCUGGUA